rnacentral:tRNA from 1 species
GGCCUGAUGGUCUAGUCGUAUGAUUCCUGCUUUGGGUAUUGCACACAUUGCAGGAGGUCCCGGGUUCAAAUCCCGGUCAGGCCC